rnacentral:rRNA from 1 species
UACGGGGGGUGCGAGCGUUGUCCGGAAUCACUGGGCGUAAAGCGCGCGUAGGUGGCUUCGUAAGUCCGCUGUGAAAGUCAAAGGCUCAACCUUUGAAAGCCGGUGGAUACUGCGGGGCUAGAGUACGGAAGAGGCGAGUGGAAUUCCUGGUGUAGCGGUGGAAUGCGCAGAUAUCAGGAGGAACACCAAUAGCGAAGGCAGCUCGCUGGGACGUUACUGACACUGAGGCGCGAAAGCGUGGGGAGCGAACAGG